CUUUCCUCUCCCUAAUGUUUAGCUUACAGAGAGCAUAAUAUUGGAGACCCCACAAACACCCAUAAAAAUGGGACUGUCUGCAUUAAUACAGGCCUGAGACGAGCCGUAACAAGGGGUCACAAGGGACCUGAGGUUACAGAGUAACCAACAAUAGAUGCUUUACCAAUGAUGCCACGGACUAACUGUUACAGAAACGUUGUUUUGUUGCUUUUUACAUUUCCCAUACUAUGACACU